rnacentral:rRNA from 1 species
GACGAACGCUGGCGGCGUGGAUUAGGCAUGCAAGUCGCGCGACGGUAUUCCUUCGGGAGUAUACGGAGCGGCGAACGGGUGAGUAACACGUGAGGAACCUGUCCCUACAUUCCGGAUAAUUGGCCGAAAGGCCUUGUAAUACGGGGGAGGGUCUUUGAGGGGCAUCCCUUAAAGAAGGAACGAGCAAUCGGUGCAGGGAGGGUCUCGCGGCCUAUCAGCUUGUUGGUGGGUAAAGCCUACCAAGGCGACGACGGGUAGCUGGUCUGAGAGGAUGGUCAGCCACAUUGGAACUGAGACACUGUCCAGA